rnacentral:rRNA from 1 species
CCUUCCGUAGGUGAACUUGCGGAAGGAUCAUUACCGAGUUGAUUCGGGCUCCGGCCCGAUCCUCCCACCCUUUGUGUACCUACCUCUGUUGCUUUGGCGGGCCCCGGUUCUCCGCGGCCGCCCCCCUCCCCGGGGGGUGGCCAGCGCCCGCCAGAGGACCAUCAAACUCCAGUCAGUAAACGAUGCAGUCUGAAAAACAUUUAAUAAACUAAAACUUUCAACAACGGAUCUCUUGGUUCUGGCAUCGAUGAAGAACGCAGCGAAAUGCGAUAAGUAAUGUGAAUUGCAGAAUUCAGUGAAUCAUCGAAUCUUUGAACGCACAUUGCGCCCUUUGGUAUUCCGAAGGGCAUGCCUGUUCGAGCGUCAUUACAACCCUCAAGCUCUGCUUGGUAUUGGGCACCGUCCUUUGCGGGCGCGCCUCAAAGACCUCGGCGGUGGCGUCUUGCCUCAAGCGUAGUAGAACAUACAUCUCGCUUCGGAGCGCAGGGCGUCGCCCGCCGGACGAACCUUCUGAACUUUUCUCAAGGUUGACCUCGGAUCAGGUAGGGAUACCCGCUGAACUUAAGCAUAUCAAUAAGCGGAGGAA